GAUGAACGCUGGCGGCGUGCCUAAUACAUGCAAGUCGAGCGAACAGACGAGGAGCUUGCUCCUCUGACGUUAGCGGCGGACGGGUGAGUAACACGUGCAUAACCUACCUAUAAGACUGGGAUAAUUUCGGGAAACCGGAGCUAAUACCGGAUAAUAUAUUGAACCGCAUGGUUCAAUAGUGAAAGACGGUUUUGCUGUCACUGAUAGAUGGAUCCGCGCCGCAUUAGCUAGUUGGUAAGGUAACGGCUUACCAAGGCAACGAUGCGUAGCCGACCUGAGAGGGUGAUCGGCCACACUGGAACUGAGACACGGUCCAGACUCCUACGGGAGGCAGCAGUAGGGAAUCUUCCGCAAUGGGCGAAAGCCUGACGGAGCAACGCCGCGUGAGUGAAGAAGGUCUUCGGAUCGUAAAGCUCUGUUAUUAGGGAAGAACAAAUGUGUAAGUAACUAUGCACGUCUUGACGGUACCUAAUCAGAAAGCCCCGGCUAACUACGUG
rnacentral:rRNA from 1 species